rnacentral:snRNA from 1 species
GUGCUCACUUCAGCAGCACAUACACCAAAACUGGAAUGAUAGAAGACAAGGACGGCCCCUGUCCAAGGAUGACACGCAAAUUUUGAUUUUUGUUUCUUAAGUCA